AAAGGUUCCGGGCAAUCGUCCCGACAAGCAUGUCGGGAAGGAAAGUCCGAACACCAACGAGAACCGUGCCCCGGGAAACCGGGGGGCUUCCCGAUUUGUCGGGAAGAACAGACAGUGCCACAGAAAACAGACCGCCCCGGUGCGUAGCACUGGAGUAAGGGUGAAAAGGCGGGGUAAGAGCCCACCGCCCCGGCCGGUAACGGUCGGGGGCACGGAAAACCUCACGGGGUGCAAGUUCACGCAGGUUGUGCGCCUCUCGUCGCUAUACAACCGGGUGGAACGCUAAAUGUACCGGGAGCAAUGCCGGUGCCAGAUAAAUGAUUGCCAUCCCGACAAGCUUGUCGGGUUACAGAAUUCGGCUUACAGGGAACCUUUUCAA
rnacentral:RNase_P_RNA from 1 species